UGGGGAAUAUUGGACAAUGGGGGCAACCCUGAUCCAGCCAUGCCGCGUGCGUGAAGAAGGCCUUAGGGUUGUAAAGCGCUUUCACUGGUGAAGAUGAUGACGGUAGCCAGAGAAGAAGCCCCGGCUAACUCCGUGCCAGCAGCCGCGGUAAUACGGAGGGGGCAAGCGUUGUUCGGAAUUACUGGGCGUAAAGGGCGCGUAGGCGGGAUGUCAAGUUAGGGGUGAAAGGCCUGGGCUCAACCUGGGAACUGCCUCUAAAACUGGCACUCUAGAGUCCGGGAGAGGAUGGCGGAAUUCCCAGUGUAGAGGUGAAAUUCGUAGAUAUUGGGAAGAACACCGGUGGCGAAGGCGGCCAUCUGGUCCGGCACUGACGCUGAGGCGCGAAAGCGUGGGGAGCAAACAGGAUUAGAUACCCCCGUAGUCC
rnacentral:rRNA from 1 species